ensembl:lncRNA
UGUUGAGAAGUCAGAUGAAAGCUUUUUGCUCUUUGUAGGGAAUGUGUCUUUUUUUCUGGCUGAUUUUAGGAUUUUCUCUUUAUCUUUCUUUUCAGCAGUUUGAUUAUGAUGAGACUACUUAUAGUUUUCAUUUUAUUUAUUCUGCUUGGGGUUUACUGAGCUCUUGAAUCUAUGAGUUGAUGUAUUUCAUCAGUUUUGAAAAAUUUUUGGCCAUUAUCCCUUCACAUAUUACCUCUCUAUUAUUGCUUCUCUCUUUCUGACACUUCAAUUAUAAAUAUUUUAUACUGUUUGUGUUCCUUGUGCUUUUAUUUUCUUCUCUGUUCUUUCCACUGUUUUUUCGGUCUGUGCUUGAGCUGGAAUCUUUUAUAUUGACCCAUCUUUAAAUUUACCAAUCCUGUCUUCUGCCAUGUCCAAUCUUCCAUUUAACCUAUCCAAUUAGUUCAUUUCAAAUAUUGUAUUUUUCAGUUUUAGAAUAUCCAGUUAAUUAUAUUUUAUAGAUUUCAUUUCUUUGUUGAAAGUCUCUUUUUAUUCUUUUCCUCUUUUUUUUUAAAACAUAGCUGGCAAAAAUUAGUAUUAGGUAACUUAAACAUCUGAAUCAUCUGUGGAUGUGAUUCUGUUGCCUAAUUCUUCUUUUCCUUGAUUAUCAGUCACAUUUCUCCUGGUCAUAUGUCUUUCUUCCUCUUUGUAGGGCUCAUAAUUUUUUUUUCUUUUCUCCAGGAUAGUGUGUAUAAGAGAACCGAAGGAUUGAAGUUGAUGGGAUUUUCCCCCAAGAGAGGAUUUGCCUUAUUUUCUGUUAGGUGUGAUAGGAAUUGGUCACCUCAGUCCAUGGAGUUGGGCUUGGGUGGCAGCUUUAGUUAGACUCAGUCCACUUGUUUCCAGAGUCUGGAGGGUAAGACUUGUAUUAUGUGACAGGCCUUUCCCUUUAGCAUGGCAAGACUGCAGGAGAUUUUGUUCAGCCUUUCUAGCCCAGCCUCUUCAGCAGGAAGGCAUCAAAGAAGGCUCUUUGAGAAGGUCACAUCUGAGCAUGGACUUCCAUUAAGUAAGGGAUCAAGCCAUAUGAAUCCCUGGGAAAAAAGUAUUACACACGGAGGGAAGGGAUUUCAAGAAGACUAUUUCUGGAGUGUCUUUCAAGCCUCAAACUGUUCAUAACUAGAAAUUGUUAGAACUGAGUUCUGUAGUUCCAUUAUUCAGAUAAGCAGACAAUGUUCACAUUAAGUAACAGCCAGUUAAACGUCUUUUUUUUAUCUGAAAGUUUACACAGGUACUUCCUAAAUACUUUCCCAUAGAAAGGAGGUAGAAACAACACAGACAUUCAGAGCAAAAUAUGAAAACCACCCAUCAGUUCACUAGAUCAGUAUUUCAGUCUGUCUCACUUUGUCACUCAUAUAUACCUAAGUAUCUUUUGUUUUUAUGUAAGUGGGAUCAUAGUACACCUUUCUACAACUUUUUCCUUUACUUAAUCUUGUAAAGCUGUUGGCACAUAGGAGUUUAUCUAAGGCUUUUAACAACUGCGUAGUACCCAUUGUAUAGGUAUGCUGUAGUUAAUUUAAUCACUGUUGAUAGGCAUUUGGCUUACUUACUUUUUACCUUAUUACAGACAAUACAGUAAAUGAUCAUCCCUGUAUAUGUGUGUGCUGAGGUUUUGGGGCUGGCCCAGUGGCGCAGCGGUUAAGCGCCCAUGUUCUGCUUCUCGGCAGCCCAGGGUUCGCUGGUUUGGAUCCCGUGUGCGGACAUGGCACCUACGCCUCCAGAUGGAGAGAGAAAUGAUCUGGAAGUGAGAAGUAGCAAAGGGGAAACACAGCUGCACAACACACCUGCGAUUGGUCACUGAAUUCAGCUAAGAGAAACACCAGAUGGAUCUCCAGAGAAUCUGUGACCAAGACUUCACUGUGAGCCAUACUGACCUCUUGCUCUGUAGGAGGUGAUGCAAAAACUGAGUGUGGAACUAGAGCCGCUUUCCCUCAGAAGCCUGCAGUGAUUAGACAGAGGACAGUGACAGGUACCUGGCAGAAGGUGUUGGAAGAAACCAAGGUGUGACAUCUUCUCCUGUGGUAAGGGUGUGGGAUGAGAAGUCCCUCUGGUGAGACAGCCAUUCAAGUUUGGAGAACACUGAGACUCUCCAGACUCUGGGAGUCAGCUGGCCCCAAGCUCUGAAGGUGGAGUCAGUGAGUGUGGAGAGGAACAAAUUGAGAAAGGGGAACUGUGUGAAGGAGAAAUUUAUCAGAGGAAAUUAUGUUUACUGUGUCAUCUUAUUACUGCCUCCUUAAAAUUUAGUUACUUGGUGAGAGUGGAUUUGUCUGGGCACAGUGGUGAAGGAACUGAGUUCCCUGUAUUAACCGACACAAGGCAGAAUUAGAGACACUGGGGUUACUGUUUUCAGAUUUGGUAACUUGGAACAUCACGAGUGCCGUUUCAUAGAGCAGUGCCAGGGCACCGUUGAGCCGGGGAAAGGGAGG